rnacentral:lncRNA from 1 species
GGGCCAUCUUUGGGUGCCGGGAAGUGUUCGAAUGUGAGCGUGGACGCGUCAGUCCCAAGAAGGGACCCUGAUAUACAUUCACAGAUACUUAAUAUAGCGGCAAGAAAAAAAUCAGAUGAAUAACAAAAUUAAAGUAAUAAUCUUACUCGAUGUAUGAUCAACCUCCAUGUUGUAGGCCUCAAGAACAGCACGGUUACAGUCUGCUUGCUGGAGAUCUUCUUUGUAUAAAUUAAGUGUCUUUCCAAAAAAUUUGAUAAAAAUUAUAUCUGCUAGCAACUAUUGCUAUUUCUCGCAUUCCAUCUGGAGCAUAGCAAUCUAUCUCAGGAGGACCGACAUACAUGACCACACUCGUGACAUCUAAAAAAUGGAGGUCGGUUUGAUGAUAAUCGCUGCCUAAAGAUAAUGUUUAAAGCAAGAUUAGAAUGAAAUUAGAAAUAAUACCGGUGAGCGAGCCCUCCUCCAGAUCAAGAACAUCCAGCUGCAUUAAUAAUGUGAACAUUUUUUUGUGAGUUGAUUAGAAUCAUGAUUGAUUCUGAAUUGAACAUCCAUCUACAGUACAUCGAAUCCAUUGUACUUUGAGUGACCAAAUGAUGAAAAUUCGACAGCAGGGUCUCGUUUGACAUUACCUCUGAACCGUAGGCGAUGUGAGCAGAGCGUAGUCAAAAGCCUUCCUG